UACGAAGGGGGCUAGCGUUGCUCGGAAUUACUGGGCGUAAAGGGCACGUAGGCGGCACUGUUAGUCAGGCGUGAAAUUCCUGGGCUCAACCUGGGGACUGCGCUUGAUACGGCAGAGCUAGAGGAUGGAAGAGGCUCGCGGAAUUCCCAGUGUAGAGGUGAAAUUCGUAGAUAUUGGGAAGAACACCGGUGGCGAAGGCGGCGAGCUGGUCCAUUACUGACGCUGAGGCGCGACAGCGUGGGGAGCAAACAGG
rnacentral:rRNA from 1 species